rnacentral:rRNA from 1 species
GACGUAGGGCGCGAGCGUUUGUCCGGAUUUAUUGGGCGUAAAGAGCUCGUAGGCGGCUUGUCACGUCGGGUGUGAAAGACCGGGGCUUAACCCCGGUUCUGCAUUCGAUACGGGCUGGCUAGAGUGUGGUAGGGGAGAUCGGAAUUCCUGGUGUAGCGGUGAAAUGCGCAGAUAUCAGGAGGAACACCGGUGGCGAAGGCGGAUCUCUGGGCCAUUACUGACGCUGAGGAGCGAAAGCGUGGGGAGCGAACAGG